AUGGACAUGCUUAUAUAUACACACAUUAAAUAUAAACAUAAUGGUGAGGAUCGAAAUAUGACCGUUACACAAUUUGAAGCAGUUGAUGCCAGACGAUGCUUUCCUUGUUGGGAUGAGCCUGCUUGCAAGAUUUAUAUCUAUUCCCCUCCUUUUCCCUUUUUAAUUCACCUUUUUUUAAGCACACCACUAGAAAAUAUUCAAAUAAUAAGUUUAUUUUGGGUUCAUGGAUACUGUAUCUAA